GAUGAAGAACGUAGCGAAAUGCGAUAAGUAGUGUGAAUUGCAGAAUUCAGUGAAUCAUCGAAUCUUUGAACGCACAUUGCGCCCCUUGGUAUCCCGAGGGGCAUGCCUGUCCGAGCGUCAUCUCAACCCUCGAGCCCCCCCGGGGGCUCGGCGUUGGGGACCGGCCCCGCCCCAGGGCGCGCCGCCCCCCAAAUCCAGUGGCGGUCCCGCCGCAGCCUCCCCUGCGCAGUAGCUUGCACACUCGCACCGGAGAGCGGCGCGGCCACGCCGUAAAACCCCCCGACCACGGAGCCCCGGCUCCUGAACGUUGACCUCGGAUCAGGUAGGAAUACCCGCUGAACUUAAGCAUAUCAAUAGGCGGAGGA
rnacentral:misc_RNA from 1 species